rnacentral:lncRNA from 1 species
GCCAGAGGGAGCUGUAGGGUGCCCAAGCUGAGGUGUGCCAGUGGGAAUGGACAGUGGAGGGAUUGCAGAAUUGUUUAGGGGUGAGGUUGACAGCAUUUGGUGGCUGGUUUGAUGAGCAGAGUGAAAGGAGGGUAGAGACAGUAGGGCUGGGGCUCCUGGGACAGUGGCAGAUCUGGAAAGAGUCGGGGGUAGAUAGCCUUGCGUUUAAGUUAGGGGUGCCUGUGAGGGGAGGAAUGACUUCUACGGGGAUGUUCAGGGCAGCUGGAUAUGUUGGUGUGGGAGUCAGGAGAGAAAGCUGGGCUGGAGUUAGAGACUUGGGAACCAUACAUGUGGAGACUGGGCUUAAAGCCCUGGUAGGGGAGGAGAGGAGAACAGGGCCCGGCCAGGCCCUGAGGACCCCAGCCGCGGUGGUCUGAGCAAAGCAAGAAGAGGUGUCGGGAACAAGCGCUGGAGAGGGAAGAUCUGCAGCUUCACUCCUGAGACCACGAGCCCACUGGAAAGAACAAACAACUCCCGAAGUGCUACCUUAUAGAGCUAUAACACUCACCGCGAAGGUCUGCAGCUUCACUCCUGAGCCAGGGAGACCACAAACCCACCAGAAGGAAAAAACUCCGAAUACAUCUGAACAUCAGGAGGGACAGACUCCAGACGGGCCACCUGAAAAGCUGUAACACUCACCGUGAGGGUCCGGGGCUUCAUUCUUGAAGUUAGUGAGACCAAGAACCCACCAAUUCGGGACACACUUGGACCAUCCGCUUCCCAGGAAGCGUCAGCCCUGGGGUGCCCAUGCCCAGAAGCCCACUCCAGCCCUGAUAGUCGCCUCCCAGCUGAGCCAGGAACCUGGGGCUGAGCUCCAUCCUCAACCUUAAAAACUUGUCAUCUCACCUGUCCCGAGGAUGUGCGGUACCUGCCCUACUUCUACCAUCCUCACCCUACUCUUUUCCUGGGCUAGCGUUAUGAUGUCUAAACCUAUCUAUCAUCCCGUUCUGUGCUCUGUAUAUUCAUUUUCCACAUAACGUAAAAUGUAGGUCUGGCUAAGCCCCCUCCACAUGGACAACGUGGGCCCUACUCUCCACAGACUCCAGCCACCUGCGACCCCUUCUGCCUCAUGCUACGUGUGAUCACAGCCUUUUCUCCUGUUGCUAUCCUGACCGAGAUGCUCCUCUAACAAGCUUGUCCACCCUUUCACACCCCUCAGCACACGCCCUGGCUUCAUAUGGCCGCCUGGUACCCUCCCUGCCGUUUCUGCCCAGAUCUGUUCUGUGCCCAGCAGGUGUUAUUGGCUUCAUCUACUUGCAGGUCUGUCCUUACUAACUGGAACACCCCCGAGGGCAGGAACGGUUUACCCCAGCAUGGAGCACAGUUCCGGGGCCCUAGGAGGAGCUCAGAGGACCUGUGGGAAAUGUUCCCAUGGGCAAUGACUCCCUGAAUGUAACGUCGUAUGUCACCUUGGAGGGAAAGACCCCAUAAAAACCUAAUCAUAUUCAAGGGAAAGGAGCUUGGCUUUCCUGGGUACAGCCUAAUGGUGUUGGUGACUGGGGUAGGAAGGGGACUCAGGAGCAGGCCCUCGCCUAUGGGGGUUUCCAG